AUUGAACGCUGGCGGCAGGCCUAACACAUGCAAGUCGAACGCGUGGCGGCCGGGUGAGUAAUGUCUGGGAAACCGCCCGAUGGAGGGGGAUAACUACUGGAAACGGUCGCUAAUACCGCAUACCAUCGGAUGUGCCCAUAUGGGAUUAGCUAGUAGGUGGGGUUACGGCUCACCUACGCGACGAUCCAUAGCUGGUCUGAGAGGAUGACCGGCCACACUGGAACUGAGACACGGUCCAGACUCCUACGGGAGGCAGCAGUGGGGAAUAUUGCACAAUGGGCGCAAGCCUGAUGCAGCCAUGCCGCGUGUAUGAAGAAGGCCUUCGGGUUGUAAAGUACUUUCAGCGGGGAGGCGUUACUCGCAGAAGAAGCACCGGCUAACUCCGUGCCAGCAGCCGCGGUAAUUC
rnacentral:rRNA from 1 species